rnacentral:rRNA from 1 species
UUGGAACAGGGCGUCAUAGAGGGUGAGAAUCCCGUCCUUGACAUGGACCCCCGGUGCUCUGUGAUACACUUUCAACGAGUCGAGUUGUUUGGGAAUGCAGCUCAAAAUGGGUGGUGAAUUCCAUCUAAAGCUAAAUAUUGGCGAGAGACCGAUAGCGAACAAGUACCGUGAGGGAAAGAUGAAAAGCACUUUGGAAAGAGAGUUAAACAGUACGUGAAAUUGUUGAAAGGGAAACGAUUGAAGUCAGUCAUGCUCUUUGGUAUUUAUAUCAUUGAGUGGGGUCAACUUUCAGUUUUGAGCGAUGGAUAAAGGCACUAGGAAGGUAGCACUCUCGGGUGAACUUAUAGCCUAGCGUCAUAUACAUUGUUUGGGACUGAGGAACGCAGCAUGCCUUUAUGGCCGGGAUUCGUCCACGUACAUGCUUAGGAUGUUGACAUAAUGGCUUUAAACGACCCGUCUUGAAACACGGACCAAGGAGUCUAACAUAUCUGCGAGUAUUUGGGUGUCAAACCCGAGUGCGCAAUGAAAGUGAACGUAGGAGCCACGCGCAAGCUGCAGCUUCGACCGAUCUGGAUCUUUAGUGAUGGAUUUGAGUAAGAGCA